AAAUUAGAGAUAGAUAAAGGGUCUCGUUUAAGAAUUCCCCUCCAAGAACAUGAUCCCAAUAACUAAGUAAUUUUAACCCAUCAAAUCAUCAACAGAAUUAAUUUGCCUAUCAAGAUUCGCUCCAAAACUUUGCAUAUUUAUGUACAGAUCUUCAAAAACGAGACCCUUUAUCUAUCUCUAAUUUCAAGAAGAUGUGGGCUGAUGAUGAGAAAAUGGAUAGAACCGGCCGGGUCUUGCCAGGGACAACCCUGUGGCUGUGACUGUGGGUUCAGUACUGCUAUUAUUAUUAUUAUUAUUGGUGGUGGUAUUACUGGUGGGCUUCAUCGUUGUGCUUGGAGUAACGGUGGUAGUGGUGGUUGUAACGGUAGCCGAGGUGGUAGUGGCAACUCUCUCACAAGAAGGGCACAUGGUUAGAGGGGGAGUGGUGGCAGGUAGUUGCAUGUAGAAUGGAUUUGAAGUCUUUAAAGCUCUCAAUUCUUGAAGCUCCUUAUGAAGUCUUCUAUUCUCUUCUGUUAAUGUCUCGCAGCACCUCUUCAAGUACUCACAAUCCACCUCUGUUUGCUUCAACUUGGUCCUUGCUCUUCUCAUGUAUCAAUAUUAAAAAUCCAAGCCAACGAUUCACUAGAUUUUUCUAGGACGGAGAUUAAGCUGCUUUGCAAGUGCAAGUUUUUGUUUAGGAUUUAGAGUACUGUGUUCUUUGAAGCUUUCUUCAAGGAAAGCAGACUGUUCCUUAGAAAGCCUGAGUUUCUUCCUGGUAUUACCGUUGUCAUCCUCAUCACUAGCUCUAGAAGAAGCUCUCUCAACCUCAGUUUCUUGAU
rnacentral:misc_RNA from 1 species